rnacentral:rRNA from 1 species
GUGCCAGCCGCCGCGGUAAUACGGAGGAUCCGAGCGUUAUCCGGAUUUAUUGGGUUUAAAGGGUGCGUAGGCGGCCCGUUAAGUCAGGGGUGAAAUACGGUGGCUCAACCAUCGCAGUGCCUUUGAUACUGACGGGCUUGAAUCCAUAUGAAGUGGGCGGAAUAAGACAAGUAGCGGUGAAAUGCAUAGAUAUGUCUUAGAACUCCGAUUGCGAAGGCAGCUCACUAAGCUGGUAUUGACGCUGAUGCACGAAAGCGUGGGGAUCGAACAGGAUUAGAUACCCUGGUAGUCCACGCCCUAAACGAUGAUAACUCGAUGUUGGCGAUAGACAGCCAGCGUCCCAGCGAAAGCGUUAAGUUAUCCACCUGGGGAGUACGCCCGCAAGGGUGAAACUCAAAGGAAUUGACGGGGGCCCGCACAAGCGGAGGAGCAUGUGGUUUAAUUCGAUGAUACGCGAAGAACCUUACCUACUCUUGACAUCCAGAGAACUUAGCAGAGAUGCUUUGGUGCCUUCGGGAACUCUGAGACAGGUGCUGCAUGGCUGUCGUCAGCUCGUGUUGUGAAAUGUUGGGUUAAGUCCCGCAACGAGCGCAACCCUUAUCCU